UAUCCUACGGGACGCAGCAGUGGGGAAUAUUGCACAAUGGGGGAAACCCUGAUGCAGCGACGCCGCGUGAGUGAAGACGGUCUUUGGAUUGUAAACCUCUUUCAGCAGGGAAGACAAAAGGACGGUACCUGCAGAAGAAGCCACGGCUAACUACGUGCCAGCAGCCGCGGUAAUACGUAGGUGGCAAGCGUUAUCCGGAAUUACUGGGUGUAAAGGGUGUGUAGGCGGGUUUGCAAGUCAGAUGUGAAAAUUAUGGGCU
rnacentral:rRNA from 1 species